rnacentral:rRNA from 1 species
GAUGAACGCUGGCGGCGUGCCUAAUACAUGCAAGUCGAGCGAACAGAUGAGGAGCUUGCUCCUCUGACGUUAGCGGCGGACGGGUGAGUAACACGUGGAUCACCUACCUAUAAGACGGGUAUAACUUCGAGAAACCGGCGCUAAUACCGGAUAAUAUAUUGAACCGCAUGGUUCAAUAGUAAAAGACGGUUUUGCUGUCACUUAUAGAUGGAUCCGGGCCGGAUUAGCUGGUUGGUAAGGUAACGGCCUACCAAGGCGACUAUGCGUAUCCGACGGGAGAGGGGGAUCGGCCACAUGGGAACGGAGACGGGGUCCAGAGUCCUACGGGAGGCAGCAGUAGGGAAUGUUCCGCAAUGGGCGAAAGCCUGACGGAGCAGCGCCGCGUGAGUGAUGAAGGCCUUCGGAUCGUAAAACUCUGUUAUUAGGGAAGAACAAAUGUGUAAGGAACUAUGCACGGCGUGACGGUACCUAAUCAGAAAGCCACGGCUAACUACGUG